CACUGCGAUUCUGCGAAGCGGUUUGUGUUCCGUGGAAAUUUUAUAGUGUGUGUUGGCCAGAUAAUUUUCUGUAUUUUUGUGCCGAAAAAAGCAUACAUUUUCACCAUUAUCUUCCUUGUUAUAAGUGAAAAUGGAUAACAGUCACGAGAAUCUGGCAGAAAAACGGAAGGUAGAGGAGGUUACUGAAGGCGAUGUCCGUAGUGUGAAUAUGGAAAGUGAUCAUGUCGUUGUCCAUGUGCAGCCGAAUACGACGCCAGGACCGAGGAGAAAGAAAUUUAAAAAGCAGAAAAAGGACGUGGACAAGUCUGCGUUGAUGUUGUUCAACGAGACUUUUCCAUCAGUGGAGUUUACUUUGGAAAGCUCUAGUGGUCCCAGUCAUCAGCCAGAGUUUGUAAUGUUUGUUGCACUUGAAGGUAAA